GACGAACGCUGGCGGCGUGCUUAACACAUGCAAGUCGAGCGGUAAGGCCCUUUCGGGGGUACACGAGCGGCGAACGGGUGAGUAACACGUGGGUGACCUGCCCUUAGCUCUGGGAUAAGCCUGGGAAACUGGGUCUAAUACCGGAUAUGACUCCAUGACGCAUGUUGUGGGGUGGAAAGCCUUGUGCGGCUGAGGAUGGGCCCGCGGCCUAUCAGCUUGUUGGUGGGGUGAUGGCCUACCAAGGCGA
rnacentral:rRNA from 1 species